rnacentral:rRNA from 1 species
UCUUCGGAUCGUAAAACUCUGUUAUUAGGGAAGAACAAACGUGUAAGUAACUGUGCACGUCUUGACGGUACCUAAUCAGAAAGUCACGGCUAACUACGUGCCAGCAGCCCGCGGUA